rnacentral:rRNA from 1 species
AUACGUAGGGGACGAGCGUUGUCCGGAAUUACUGGGCGUAAAGGGCGCGCAGGCGGAUAUUUAAGUCAGCUGGAAAAGGCAUGAGCUCAACUCAUGUAUGCGGUUGAAACUGGGUAUCUAGAGUGCUGGAGAGGUAGGCGGAAUUCCCGGUGUAGCGGGGAAAUGCGUAGAUAUCGGGAAGAACACCAGUGGCGAAGGCGGCUUACUGGCCAGCAACUGACGCUGAGGCGCGAAAGCCAGGGGAGCGAACGGGAUUAGAUACCCCGGUAGUCCUGGCCGUAAACGAUGAAUGCUAGGUGUGGGUGUCGAGAGGCAUCCGUGCCGGAGUUAACGCGAUAAGCAUUCCGCCUGGGGAGUACGAUCGCAAGAUUGAAACUCAAAGGAAUUGGCGGGG